GACGAACGCUGGCGGCGCGCCUAACACAUGCAAGUCGAACGAGCGAAGAGAAGCUUGCUUCUCUGAGCGAGUGGCGAACGGGUGAGUAACGCGUGAGGAACCUGCCUCAAAGAGGGGGACAACAGUUGGAAACGACUGCUAAUACCGCAUAAGCCCACGGGUCGGCAUCGACCAGAGGGAAAAGGAGCAAUCCGCUUUGAGAUGGCCUCGCGUCCGAUUAGCUAGUUGGUGAGGUAAUGGCCCACCAAGGCGACGAUCGGUAGCCGGACUGAGAGGUUGAACGGCCACAUUGGGACUGAGACACGGCCCAGACUCCUACGGGAGGCAGCAGUGGGGAAUAUUGCACAAUGGGGGAAACCCUGAUGCAGCGACGCCGCGUGGAGGAAGAAGGUCUUCGGAUUGUAAACUCCUGUUGUUGAGGAAGAUAAUGACGGUACUCAACAAGGAAGUGACGGCUAACUACGUGCCAGCAGCCGCGGUAAAACGUAGGUCACAAGCGUUGUCCGGAAUUACUGGGUGUAAAGGGAGCGCAGGCGGGAAGACAAGUUGGAAGUGAAAUCCAUGGGCUCAACCCAUGAACUGCUUUCAAAACUGUUUUUCUUGAGUAGUGCAGAGGUAGGCGGAAUUCCCGGUGUAGCGGUGGAAUGCGUAGAUAUCGGGAGGAACACCAGUGGCGAAGGCGGCCUACUGGGCACCAACUGACGCUGAGGCUCGAAAGUGUGGGUAGCAAACAGGAUUAGAUACCCUGGUAGUCCACACCGUAAACGAUGAUUACUAGGUGUUGGAGGAUUGACCCCUUCAGUGCCGCAGUUAACACAAUAAGUAAUCCACCUGGGGAGUACGACCGCAAGGUUGAAACUCAAAGGAAUUGACGGGGGCCCGCACAAGCAGUGGAGUAUGUGGUUUAAUUCGACGCAACGCGAAGAACCUUACCAAGUCUUGACAUCCUGCGACGGACAUAGAAAUAUGUCUUUCCUUCGGGACGCAGAGACAGGUGGUGCAUGGUUGUCGUCAGCUCGUGUCGUGAGAUGUUGGGUUAAGUCCCGCAACGAGCGCAACCCUUAUGGUCAGUUACUACGCAAGAGGACUCUGGCCAGACUGCCGUUGACAAAACGGAGGAAGGUGGGGAUGACGUCAAAUCAUCAUGCCCUUUAUGACUUGGGCUACACACGUACUACAAUGGCGUUAAACAAAGAGAAGCAAGACCGCGAGGUGGAGCAAAACUCAGAAACAACGUCCCAGUUCGGACUGCAGGCUGCAACUCGCCUGCACGAAGUCGGAAUUGCUAGUAAUCGUGGAUCAGCAUGCCACGGUGAAUACGUUCCCGGGCCU
rnacentral:rRNA from 1 species